CCUGGCUCAGAACGAACGCUGGCGGCAGGCCUAACACAUGCAAGUCGAGCGCGCCCUUCGGGGUGAGCGGCGGACGGGUUAGUAACGCGUGGGAAUAUGCCCAAAGGUACGGAAUAGCCUCUGGAAACGGAGAGUAAUACCGUAUGUGCCCUUCGGGGGAAAGAUUUAUCGCCUUUGGAUUAGCCCGCGUUAGAUUAGGUAGUUGGUGGGGUAAUGGCCUACCAAGCCUACGAUCUAUAGCUGGUUUUAGAGGAUGAUCAGCAACACUGGGACUGAGACACGGCCCAGACUCC
rnacentral:rRNA from 1 species